UCCGCCUCAGGUGUGAGGCUUUUUAGUUUUUAGGUUUUUCUUAGUCUUUUUUGCGUCCAAGCAUGUGACGCUUUUUUGUAAGUAAGGCCGGAGGUUGUGUUUUAUUUUGUAAAGACUGCUGAAAAUAUAAUAUAUUGAGUUGUUUUCAGAUAAGCCUUUGUUUUACACUUUGAUCCUGCGCAGGUCUCUGGCGGAGGACCUGCGCAGGAUCGUUUCAUUACUCCCCUUUCGUUUUUUUACAAAGGGAUUUAUGUUUCUGGCGAAUUGUGGGAGUAUUGGCAAGUUGCCUUCCCUAACAUGAGAUUGGUGGAUAUGUUCGAGUUUGUUGGAUAUGAUAUUGAUGGCGAAGGAUCUGGAUUUAUCCAGUCGUUUGCGCGCCGAGGUUCAUGGCCUCCGGCUUAGGUGGAUGAUUUUGUUUUUCUUUUCGUUU
rnacentral:lncRNA from 1 species